rnacentral:rRNA from 1 species
GACAGAGGGUGCAAACGUUGUUCGGAAUUACUGGGCGUAAAGCGUGCGCAGGCGGUGAUGUAAGGCAGAUGUGAAAUCCCCGGGCUCAACCUGGGAACUGCAUUUGUGACUGCAUCGCUGGAGUGCGGCAGAGGGGGAUGGAAUUCCGCGUGUAGCAGUGAAAUGCGUAGAUAUGCGGAGGAACACCGAUGGCGAAGGCAAUCCCCUGGGCUGACACUGACGCUCAGGCACGAAAGCGUGGGGAGCAAACAGG